GGACGCUUACCACUUUGUGGUUCAUGACUGGGGUGAAGUCGUAACAAGGUAGCCCUAGGGGAACCUGGGGCUGGAUUACCUCCUUA
rnacentral:rRNA from 1 species